UCGGGAAUUUUGGGCAAUGGGCGAAAGCCUGACCCAGCCAUGCCGCGUGAGUGACGAAGGCCUUAGGGUUGUAAAACUCUUUCGUCGGGGACGAUAAUGACGGUACCCGAAGAAGAAGCUCCGGCUAACUUCGUGCCAGCAGCCGCGGUAAUACGAAGGGAGCUAGCGUUGUUCGGAAUCACUGGGCGUAAAGCGCACGUAGGCGGAUAGUUAAGUCAGGGGUGAAAUCCUGGGGCUCAACCCCAGAACUGCCUUUGAUACUGGCUGUCUCGAGGUCGAGAGAGGUUGGUGGAAUUCCUAGUGUAGAGGUGAAAUUCGUAGAUAUUAGGAAGAACACCAGUGGCGAAGGCGGCCAACUGGCUCGAUACUGACGCUGAGGUGCGAAAGCGUGGGGAGCAAACAGGAUUAGAUACCCAUGUAGUCCCUGAGCGGGCUGGCAAGGCGCAU
rnacentral:rRNA from 1 species